UACGAAGGGUGCAAGCGUUACUCGGAAUUACUGGGCGUAAAGGGUGCGCAGGCGGUUCUGCAAGUCAGGCGUGAAAGCCCCGGGCUUAACCUGGGAAUGGCGCUUGAAACUACGGGACUGGAGUAUGGCAGAGGGAGGUGGAAUUCCACGUGUAGCGGUGAAAUGCGUAGAGAUGUGGAGGAACACCGAUGGCGAAGGCAGCCUCCUGGGCCAAUACUGACGCUCAUGCACGAAAGCGUGGGGAGCAAACAAG
rnacentral:rRNA from 1 species